CUGGGAGUCUGGAAAGACACCGAGGUGUCGAUGAGCAAAAUGUCAAUACAAUUAACCCCUUGCUUCCCUGCUCCCACCUACCCCUGACAAAAACGGUUGCUGAAAACCUGUUGAAAGUAUCCCAAUGAAAAUUAAACUGAAAAAGCUUUGACCAGCUCUGCUAUUCCCAAGUUGUAAUGAAUGAGGCUUUCUGCUAUGCACUAAUGCCCACAGCGAGGAUAAGGAAUAGCUGGUUUGGUUUUUUUUUCUCUUGACAAGCAUCCUGCCAUCGCCCAUGAAGGAAAGAAACCGUGGUCUUAUCUGAACUAGAGCCAAAGGCUGGUGGUGGAGCUUUAAGCCCGCCACCCAAACCUGAAAUCCUCAUAAAAAAACUGGACUAAAUAAUAGUUGCAAACUGACUGUGUGGUCUUUAUCUUCUACAGGCUGCUGCUGCCUUUAAAAUGUGCCCUUCACCUUGGCAAUGGCAAUGCUUGCUUUAAUUUUUUUGUUUAGCAAGGCUCAGGCUGGUGUUUCGGGAGCCGCACAAAGGUCCCAUCGCAGUGGAGUCUGACGGUGGAACCAAACAGGAUUACGAGACUGGAAUUUCAUGCAGCUGGGUGUUAUGCUUCAGCAAGGAUGUAUGGGUGACACUGUUUACCAGAGUCAGAGCUCAGCUUGUGGGCAGUUCCUUGGUGGAAAGAGCAAGUUGUGAUGCCAAGUCAUCUCCCCAGCCUUGACCAGGAAUAUAUGGGAACCUCCAGGCAUUAGUGAGACACUUGGGAUAUAACUGGACGUGUCCAUAAUCCUUCUACCACAGCCGGAGGGAGCAGCGCAGUUGGAGCAGCUCAGGUCCCUUCUGAAGAGCACAACCGUGGCACGCCAGUGGGGGCGAGGGACCGGGGCAGCACAAGAACCGGGGCUUUCUCCAGCUACAGCAACGUCGCUGUCGGAGCAAGGCUGGUGACGUGCUUAAGGAGUGGCUCUUGCCCAGGUAUUUGCAAAGCACUGGGCUUGGCGUCACCGCGUGGCUGGCAGCGGGGUACCCUAGGUGGGAUGCAGUAUUUCUAUCUAUCUAAGCUACUUUUCCUAGGCACGUCCACCAUGUGCCCAAGCUGAGACAAUUUAACCCUCCACCUUAGCAUGGAUCAUCAGCAUCAAUGGCAUCAACCACGAAUCAACCCCUGAAAUACCACUUUUUCCUCCACUGACUACAAAGCAUUAGAAGGGGCUGCCCAGGGAAGGGGUCAGGUCCCCAUCCCUAGGGACAUUUAAAAGCCGGGCAGACGAGGUG